ACACUCACCUGGUAGGGGAAGUACCAUAUCAAGAAGGUGGUCUUCCCAGGAUUAGGCCCACCCAUUGUACCCUGUGUGUGCUGUCCUCUGUGAUUUCUCCAAAUGUGGGAAACUCGACUGAAUAAUUUAUGGUAGUGGGGCUCUGCAUUUGCGCUCUCUCCUG